AUUGAACGCUGGCGGCAUGCUUUACACAUGCAAGUCGAACGGUAACAGGCCUUCGGGUGCUGACGAGUGGCGAACGGGUGAGUAAUGCAUCGGAACGUACCCAGAGGUGGGGAUAACGCAGCGAAAGCUGUGCUAAUACCGCAUGUGAUCUGAGGAUGAAAGCGGGGGACCGAGCAGCAAUGUUUGGCCUCGCGCCUUUGGAGCGGCCGAUGUCGGAUUAGCUAGUUGGGGGGGUAAAGGCCUACCAAGGCGACGAUCCGUAGCUGGUCUGAGAGGACGACCAGCCACACUGGGACUGAGACACGGCCCAGACUCCUACGGGAGGCAGCAGUGGGGAAUUUUGGACAAUGGGCGCAAGCCUGAUCCAGCAAUGCCGCGUGCGGGAAGAAGGCCUUCGGGUUGUAAACCGCUUUUGGCAGGAACGAAACGGUGUCCGCUAAUACCGGGCGCUAAUGACGGUACCUGCAGAAUAAGCACCGGCUAACUACGUG
rnacentral:rRNA from 1 species